GAUGAACGCUGGCGGCGUGCCUAAUACAUGCAAGUCGAGCGAACGGACGAGAAGCUUGCUUCUCUGAUGUUAGCGGCGGACGGGUGAGUAACACGUGGAUAACCUACCUAUAAGACUGGGAUAACUUCGGGAAACCGGAGCUAAUACCGGAUGAUAUUUUGAACCGCAUGGUUCAAAAGUGAAAGAUGGUCUUGCUGUCACUUAUAGAUGGAUCCGCGCUGCAUUAGCUAGUUGGUAAGGUAACGGCUUACCAAGGCAACGAUGCAUAGCCGACCUGAGAGGGUGAUCGGCCACACUGGAACUGAGACACGGUCCAGACUCCUACGGGAGGCGGCAGUAGGGAAUCUUCCGCAAUGGGCGAAAGCCUGACGGAGCAACGCCGCGUGAGUGAUGAAGGUCUUCGGAUCGUAAAACUCUGUUAUUAGGGAAGAACAUAUGUGUAAGUAACUGUGCACAUCUUGACGGUACCUAAUCAGAAAGCCACGGCUAACUACGUG
rnacentral:rRNA from 1 species